rnacentral:rRNA from 1 species
UCAAGCUACAAAGAGCACAAGGGGAAUGCCUUGGCACCGAGAGCCGAAGAAGGACGUGACUAACUGCGAUAAGCUGCGGGGAGCCGUAAGUAGGCUUUGAUCCGCAGAUUUCCGAAUGGAGCAAUCCGGCAAGAGGAAAGUCUUGUCAUCAUAUACUGAAUACAUAGGUAUAUGAGGGGAACCGCCUGAACUGAAACAUCUAAGUAGGGCGAGGAAGAGAAAUCAACUGAGAUUCCGUAAGUAGUGGCGAGCGAACGCGGAAGAGGCCAAACCGAGAGUAGUAAUACUUUCGGGGUUCGGACAGAAUACGGCAUUGUAAAGGUUUAGUGGAAUGGAAUGGGAAGUCCAACCGAAGAAGGUGAGAGUCCUGUACACGAAAAGCCUGAACAGCCAUCUGUAUCCAGAGUACCGCCGGACACGUGAAACCCGGUGGGAAUACGGGGGGACCAUCCUCCAAGCCUAAAUACUACUCGGUGACCGAUAGUGAAGAAGUACUGUGAAGGAAAGGUGAAAAGUACCCCUGACGGGGAGUGAAAAAGAACCUGAAACCUUGUGUUUACAAGCACCGAAAGCUCAUCAAAGAGCGAUCGGGUACCUUUUGUAGAAUGGUCCGGCGAGUGAAUGUAACCGGCGAGGUUAAGCACUUAAGGUGUGAAGCCGCAGCGAGAGCAAGUCUGAAUAGGGCGUAUGAAGUCGGUUGUAUUCGACCCGAAACCGGGUGACCUACCCAUGGUCAGGUUGAAGUAAAGGUAAAACUUUAUGGAGGACCGAACCGACUCCCGUUGAAAUGGUAGCGGAUGAACUGUGGGUAGCGGAGAAAUUCCAAUCGAACCCGGAGAUAGCUGGUUCUCUCCGAAAUAGCUUUAGGGCUAGCCUUGAAAUAGAUUACCGGAGGUAAAGCACUGAAUUGGCUAGGGGCCGAGAGGUUACUGAACCUUAUCAAACUAAGAAUGCCGGAUAAUCGUUUUUCAGGAGUCAGACAGUGGGAGAUAAGUUUCAUUGUCAAAAGGGAAACAGCCCAGACCCACAGCUAAGGUCCCCAAGUAUAGUUAAGUGGAAAAGGAUGUGGAAUUGCACAGACAACCAGGAUGUUGGCUUAGAAGCAGCCACUCAUUAAAAGAGUGCGUAAUAGCUCACUGGUCGAGUGACUCUGCGCCGAAAAUUUAACGGGGCUAAACUAUACACCGAAGCUUGGGAUACAUCUAAUGUAUGGUAGGAGAGCGUUCUGUAUGGGGCGAAGUCGUAGCGAAAGCGGCGGUGGACUGUACAGAAGUGAGAAUGCCGGAAUAAGUAGCGAGAAUUAAGUGAGAAUCUUAAUGGCCGAAAGUCUAAGGUUUUUGGAGGAAGGUUCGUCCGCUCCAAGUAAGUCGGGAGCUAAGGUCAGGCCGAAAGGCGUAGCCGAUGCACAUACGGUUGAUAUUCCGUAACCAUCUGUAAUUUAAGCAAAGGGACACUUCAAAAGGGUGUGACCCGGGCGUUGGUUGACCCGGGCGUAAGGGACCGAAAUUAGAGUAGGGAAGCACACUUGGCUGAAGGCGAGAAAAGCUUUGCGUAUAGAAACAGAUGCCCGUACCGCAAACCGACACAGGUGGACAGGAAGAGAAUUCUAAGGCCAGCGGGAGAAGGGUAGUUAAGGAACUCGGCAAAUUGACUCCGUAACUUCGGAAUAAGGAGUGCUCGAAAGAGCCGCAGAGAAUAGGCCCAGGCGACUGUUUAGCAAAAACACAGGUCUCUGCCAAAUCGAAAGAUGAAGUAUAGGGGCUGACACCUGCCCGGUGCCGGAAGGUUAAGAGGAGGAGUGAGAGCUCCGAAUUGAAGCCCCGGUAAACGGCGGCCGUAACUAUAACGGUCCUAAGGUAGCGAAAUUCCUUGUCGGGUAAGUUCCG